rnacentral:lncRNA from 1 species
CCCGGCCGCCAUGUUGGCUGGUGUGUGGGUGUCAAACGCUGCACGGGCUUCAGUCGCUCCCGCCUCUCCAGCGCUACCGGCGGCCGCAGCCGCGCACUCGCGCUGGCCGAGAGGAGCGGAGGUGAGCGGAGCGGAGUGUUCUUUUCGUGUUGGACACAGUGCAUGUUCCUGGGUACUCAUUGUGAAGGAGACAGAUGGCAUUCACCAGACUCGAGGUGCAGAGCCCAGUGUUGGAGAUGUGGACCUCACUGUAGCUCCGUCAUGACUUCCAGCUUCUUGGAUCUGGGGCUCCAGAGGAGGAAAUGAUUGUCAGGGCUCUUGCUCUUGUUUCUGCUGCAUUACAGAAAGUGGACCUUCAUAGAGUGUGGACUUACCAAGGACAGGAAAGUUUCUCUCUUUGAAGGACUUUAAAU